GAAAUGGAUACAACUACUACUAUGUAUCCUUCUUUCACUAGUGAGGAAAUUGAGAUUUGGAAUUGAGAAGUGAAGAGCUUUGCUGGAGUCACACAGGUGGGAAGUUGAGAGCCAGGACUUCAACCCAGCAAAUCUCCUAACUCCAGGUCUGGUAGAAGACACCAAUCAAAAUAAACUGCAUUCCUGAAACACAGACAGACGUUAAAGCUAUUCAAGUCCUCAAGUCCCAGAGACUAUUGAGGAAGAGGUGGGAGUGUGACAUUGGAAGGGCUGAUAUUGAGAGAUAAGAGUCAAGAAAACUUUUAAGCUGUUUACAGCUUUUAAUAAUUGAGUAAGGUAUACUCCUGUGAACAAAAUUUGGAGCAUAUUUUUUUCUCUCUACCUGAUUUCUCCAAAAUUUGGAAACUAUUGAUUCACCUCUAAGAAUUUUCUUUGAAUGUUCCUGGGAUGGAUGAAAUGGGGGGAGUGAAGAAGAUUUGUACUACUUCUAAAGCAGAGUUUACAAUUCAAGCUCUGAAGAAGAAAAAAUAAAUAAACUUAAGUAAAUGUAAACACAAGUUGAGGCACAUUCAAUAAUGAACUCUA
rnacentral:lncRNA from 10 species